AUAAUAAAAGUCCCGUGCCUGCCAGUCGUUGGGCAGAAGUGGUUUGCAGGAUAAUAAAAGUCCCGUGCCUGCCAGUCGUUGGGCAGAAGUGGUUUGCAGGAUAAUAAAAGUCCCGUGCCUGCCAGUCGUUGGGCAGAAGUGGUUUGCAGGAUAAUAAAAGUCCCGUGCCUGCCAGUCGUUGGGCAGAAGUGGUUUGCAGGAUAAUAAAAGUCCCGUGCCUGCCAGUCGUUGGGCAGAAGUGGUUUGCAGGAUAAUAAAAGUCCCGUGCCUGCCAGUCGUUGGGCAGAAGUGGUUUGCAGGAUAAUAAAAGUCCCGUGCCUGCCAGUCGUUGGGCAGAAGUGGUUUGCAGGAUAAUAAAAGUCCCGUGCCUGCCAGUCGUUGGGCAGAAGUGGUUUGCAGGAUAAUAAAAGUCCCGUGCCUGCCAGUCGUUGGGCAGAAGGCAUUAGAAGGAUCGUGUUCAUGUUAUAAAACAGAAAACUUUAGUCAACCUACACAAUGGCUAUCAGCAUGCCUCCAGCCUUUCAGCUAGUAGUGAACAGAACAUAAGGCCAAAGGGUUUAUGGGUAGCAGAGAAACAAUCAUUUUGUACCUCAGACAUUUCCAGGAGAACGUUUUAACUAAAAAAAGAGAAAGAUACACUUUUUUUGUGUAGAGUUUGUUUCUGUGUAGUGUAACCAUUUAAGAUUGAAAAGGUCAUUUUUACAACAACAACAACUGGUCUUCAGUAUCCCCCGCGUGUGGACGAGUCUUAGAGCCUUCUCCAUAAGGGUGGAUAGUUGGACUGUUCCAUUUCCAUGCACAUACAGGGGAGAGAAAGCACCUCGUCAACAGUCAGUAGGUCCGAUGAGAAGGGCGAGAGGGGUAGUGUGUCCCAUGCAGGACAAACAGUAAUUCAGUUGUUUGUGUGUGUAUGUGUGUAUCCAUUCCUGUGUGUAUGUAUAUACAGUAUAUACAUGGUUAUUUUGGCUUGCCAGGCCUCUUGCUGUGCCACAGGUGUGUAUGUAUAUACAGUAUAUACAUGGUUAUUUUGGCUUGCCAGGCCUCUUGCUGUGCCACAGGUGUGUAUGUAUAUACAGUAUAUACAUGGUUAUUUUGGCUUGCCAGGCCUCUUGCUGUGCCACAGGUG
rnacentral:lncRNA from 13 species